AGCAAGUCAUGCCUGAUUUGAGGACAUGGAAAGACCCAUAAUCUUGCCAUACCCAUGAUGGGGAAGUGAGCCCCUAAAAGCAGGGAUCAUAGCAGAGCACUUUGAUUUUUCUGCUUCUUAUUCCUAAACCCAAUGUAGAAAAAAGAAAUGUGGAAAAACGUAGGAUUUUGGCACAUAUUUAAAGUUUCUAACCACAUCCUCUACCAAACUACUCUCCUGUAGUUUCUGUAUAAGUUUCUUAUCCUGUCUCCAAAUAUAGUCACAUUCUGAGAUACUGAGUUAGGAUUUCAACAGACGAAUUUCAGAGGACACAAUUGAAC